GGAGACGGUGAGCGCGCGCAUGACGCGGCGCAGGUCGCGGAGCCUGCACGGGCUGAUCCCGGCCUCCGCGAGUAUCUGGGGCAGGGUGGCGGCGCCGCCGAGGCGGUGGACGGCGUCGGCGAUGCGGAGGUCCAUGGCGAUCGCGAGCGCGGCGGACUUGAAGAAGCCGAGGGACUGGUGCCAGAGCUGAAGCUGAGCGUGGAGCAACUCCCGGCUGCUGUACUCGGCGAGCAACGCCAUUGUAUAUGGUGUAUAUCGAUCGAUUGAUCGAUCUUGGAUUAAUUUGUGAUGGCUAGUUCUUUUUUUUCAGCUAUAACUUGAAACACACACAAGCAGGAACCAUGAUGCAUCAUGUAUUUAUAGUUGCUUGGUCAUCAUGACUAGCAUGAGUGAUAUUUUAAGCUUUGAUCAAUUGUAUACGUAUAACUGUACAAGGAACGUGCAAGACUGACUAUUUUAGCUGCAGUACAUGUAGACCCACGUGAUUAGAGAAAACGGCCACGGAAAUUACACAAUCGUAGCCGGUGCACAUUUGACUUCCGAUGCAAAGAUGUAAUUUUCCAGGAGCAUUUGUCUAGGGGAAUUAAUCGUUGUCCGUAUUUAAUUUGACAAGGGAAUCGUACGAGGAAUCGUACGUGCACACGUCCAUUUUACUCCUCGAAGUGUACUGAACUGCAUUCAUGCGCACAUUGAACGUGGUGAUGCUUCUUCUUCACAAAUUUGGCCGGUUUGUCCUUUCAUGGACGCGGUCUCCAAAACAUAGGUUUAACUAUGAUUUUGUAUUGUACUAAUACAUAUAAAUAUCAACAAAUAUAUAUUUUUUGUUACAGUACUUUUUAAGCAUAGUCCACUCAAACUAAAUAAUUUAAAGGCUAUUGGUAGUCAAAGUCUUAGGAAUUUGAUCUUAUUAGCCUUGUCCAAACGACAUGAAUUAUAAAAUUGAGGGAUUACACUAUACCAAGAAAAGACCAAUACCAACUAACAUAAACUAGAUGGUUCGAACAGAGAAGAAUAACAUGUCAGCCGUAGCAAUACUACAAAGUACAAACGGCUAACUCUAGUUUUCAAUGAAAGGUGUGGAAGAGUUUCAUGUGUAGGAACCCGUGUAAACCAAGUUCACUAGCAUAGUGCAUGACAUUCUACUUCCUUUUUUUUUCUAAGCCUGUGGAUAGUACUAGCAUGGUGUUUAGGCUAUCUGUGUAAAUUUCAUUCACAGUUGAGAAUCUUGUUGACUUAGUUGUUUUGUCAGCAGUGUUUUUUUUAGGGCAAUGGCAGGUGCUUUGCCUUUCAUUAAAGUAGAAGAAACAAUUGUAAGUAUGUACGGAGGCCUAGGCCAUAUGCCACGCAUUCAGGAAAUUACAAAGAGAAAAAUACUGCCGUUUCAGAGUCUGAAAAACCGGCCAAACAGCAAGUCCUAGAGGACUACUUGCUCUCGUCGUGCGCCAUUCUCAGCGCCUCAAUGUCGUGAUGAAUAAGUGUCGCAAGCAGUAAUGGUGGGAUGGCCGUGGGAUGGCCUUGUUAUCUUAGACACGCCAGUAUCUUUCUUUCCAUAUGUUCCAUGUCAUAUAAGUGAUGAUGGGAAUUCUUUCAACUGACAUGUUUGUUGUAUUGCUUCCAUGAUAGUGGACCACCAAGUCUGCAGAUUCAUCCCUGUGGUUGUUGGAUUGAGAUUCUGUUGCCCCAUUGUUUGAGUAAUUUGGUUCCAAAUCGCCUGUGAAUAUGAAUAUUUGGCCACCAUGUGUAUCAUGGAUUCAUUCCGUGUCGUGCACAACUGACAGAUUGGGUUUGCCUGGCCUCCCCUCUUGAUGAUUCUAUAUGCUGUGAGUAGCUUGCGUUGAAGGAGAAGCCAAAGAAAGAAUUUGCAUUUGUUUUCCACCUUCAGUUUCCAUAUUCGGUCCCAUUAGUAAUCAGGUUGAGGCCGAAAAACUGUGCCUGGUACACCGAUCGGGAGGAGUACUUGCCAUCAGAUGAGAAGCGCCAUUGGAUCUGAUCAGGUGUGGAAGUGAGUUGUAUCGAUUGCAAUUAGUGCCACAGAUUGACGAACUGCCUGAGCUCGUCUGGUGUGGAGAUUCUCUUGAGACCCCUCCUCCAUUUUUUUCUUAGGAAUGCUAUCUGCCACCGUCAUGUUCUUUCUCCAGGUCAGCUUGAAACAGAGUGGAGCAAUAUCCUGUGGAGCUUGACCAUGUAGCCAUUGAACCUUCUAGAAUUUUGUGCUCUGAACAUUACCCACAGUGAUGUGUGUGCAGGCUUUGAAUAAAUCUUGUUCAUGUUGGGUGCAGGUAGCUAGGAAUGCCAUGGUCUAUUCCGAUCAGUCCAUUGCAACCACAACUAGUGUAGUCUAAGGGCACGGCCGAAGUUGUUGAGUUCUAGGAUGCCAAGUCCCCCUAGCGGUUUGGGACGGCUUAUCCUUGGCCCAUUUACUUGGCAGUGACCUCCUUUUGCGGUGUCAUCCCGCGCAAUAGGAAGCUUCAUCGUAGACAGUCUAUGCACUUGAUGGCCCAUUUAGAAAGAAGAAAUACGAUCAUGUAGUAUGUUGGGAUUGAGGAGACAACUGAGGUGACCGGUGCUAAGUGCCCCGCUUCAUUCAGUAACCGACCCUUCCAAUUGGGUAACCUGGUGCCAAUUUUGUCAAUUAGGAUCUGCUCAUCUGCCCUUCAUGUACAGCCAAUCCACAAUGGUAGUCCCAGAUAGCGACACGGGAAAUGGCUAACUUGCCCAGGGAAAGUGAAAUGGAUUUCUGUGAUGUCACUGUCCUCACAUCGGAUAGGGAACAUCUCAGACUUUUGCAUGUUGGUAAAUAGACCUGUAGCUUCCCGAAAGCACUUGAGCAGUUGUUGCAAGUAGGUCUUGUCUUGUGGAGAUGGUCUAAAAAAAAGUACGGCGUCAUCUGCACAAAGGCUUGUUCGGCAUUUGAUUGGGUCUACUCCAAUUGGUUGAAGGAUUCCUUGCUCUGUAGCUUUCUUGAGUAUCCGCUGAAUGGGGUCCAUGGCAAGGAUGAAAAGCAUGGGCGAUAGAGGAUCACCCUGAUGAAGGCCCCAGAGAUGUUUGAUCAGUUGCCCUACCUCACCAUUGAGGAUUAUGCGUGAUGAUGGGGUGGACCAGAUCAUGGAGAUGAUGUUGCGCCAUCGCUGCCCAAACCCAAGAUGUUCCAUUACUUCCAGUAGCUACUCCCAUCGAACAUUGUCAAAGGCCUUGGCAAUGUCCAGCUUCAGAAAUAGCAUGGGUGUUUUGGUUCUGUGGAAGUGGUUGAUAGCACCGCGGAUAUAUUGGAAAUUAUCCUGAAUGCUCCAACCUUUGAUGAAGGUGCUUUGGCUGCGCGAGAUAAUGCGUCUAGGUGUGGUGCUAAUCGGUUGGCUAGGACUUUGCCCAUAAUCUUGGCGAUGUUGUGCAAUAAGCUGAUAAGUCUAUAAUCUUUAAUUGCUUCAAACCCGUCCUUCUUGGGAAGUAGCACGAUGUUGGCUAAGUUGAGUAGGUUCCAGUGUUGGCUCCUAAGGUUGUAUAACUGGUGUAAUGUGUUCAUGAGAUCCUCCUUGAUCACAUCCCAGCAUGUUUUGUAGAAUAGGCUGAUGAAGUCGUCUGGCCCUAGUGCUUUUUUUAUGGUGAUUCAAAGAUAGCCUGCACGGACUUCCUCCUUGUCAACUGCUCGUCCAGAUGUUGGAGGUCAUGUGCCUGAAUGCCUAGGUGACCCCAAUUUAGAGUGUGAGGGCGAGGUGAACAUGAUCCUAGUUGAUUGUUGUAGUGGCUAUAGAGAGCUUCUGCUUUGUCUUGCUGUGUAGUAAUGGUGCGUCCAAGCACUUUCAGUGCAGGAAUGUGGUUCUUCCUGCAUCGUGAUGUUGCCCUCAGGUGGAACAGUUUGGUGUUGGCGUCCCCGGCCCGGAUCCAAGUAAGCCUUGACCGUUGCCUGAUCUUGAUUCGUCGAAUAGUGGCAAAACCCAGUAUUCAUUGCUUGGCUCUUUUGCGCAAAGCUAGUUCCUCAGCGGACAGUUGCUGCUAUUCAUGUGCUUGAUCUAGGCACAGCACCACCUCUUGUGCAAUUCCAGUUCUCAGUUUCCACUCAUCAACCACAGUGUGGCUCCAUUGUUUUAAUGCUUUACCUGCUCUUGCUAGCUUAACAUGGAGGACUCUGAUUUUAUCCGUGGAUAAGAAUGGCUUAGUCCAAGCCUCCACUACUAUUUCAGCAUAGUCAGGUAAGUGCAGCCAGUAUGAUUCAAAAUGAAAAACCUCGGAAUUCCUUGUGAAAAAGGGUACAUGUUAGCAACAUUGGACAGGGAUCAGAGACCGAUGUUGAGAUAGCUUGCAUAUAGCAGUUCUUGUGAGUUAGCUCCCAUUACCUUGAACAGAAGACAUGAUCAAUUUUAGUAAAGGUUGGGUUCUUAGUUUCACUAGACCAAGUGAACUUCCUGCCAUGGAGGUAAAUUUCCUUCAUCAAGAUUAUUCGAUGUUGACUUGAAACUAUUCAUUAGAUGCUGGUUUAUUCGGUCAUUGCUUUUAUCAAAAGCUCUAUAAAUAAGAUUGAAAUCCCCAUUAUGGCCCAACUCGGCAACAUCCGUUGUUUUAGGGAUUGCAUUUCAGUUAGAAACUCUAACUUGUCAUGGUCAUGCUGAGGUCCAUAGACACCAGUAAGGCUCCAUGAGGAAUUCUCUACCCUAUUUAAAAUUGUUGCUGACACUAAAAAUUGGCCCAUUGAAACUAUCUCAUGCUGUAAUAGUCCUAGGAGCAAGCAAUUAUAACACCCCCACAAGUGCCUUAUGCCAGCAGGAAUGCAAAUGACUGAGCAAAUUGAGGUCCCAAUGUCUACACAAUUAUACUAUCAUCUACCAUUGCUAGCUUGGUUUCUUGAAGACAUACUAUUGUGCAAUGAUGGUCCUGAAUCAUGGCCCUUACAACUUGCUGUCAAGCCACUGCAUUUAGACCUCGAACGUUCAAGUUCAACGCAAUGCAAUUUUUUUCAUUCAUAUUGCAAUAGAAAGGACGACUUCAUUAGGCCUAGGCUGGCGGGCAGACAUUAUGUCUAUUUUGAAGCCGUUUACAGUGGUUGGACAUUACCAACCAGUUUAAACAUACACCUCAACAUACAUCCUCCUACCUACUAGCCACCCCACCACCACUAACCCCUUAACAGUAUCACAAUGCAUAUCUAAACACUGAUUGCAACUUGCUUGAACCAUGACAGUAAACUAGACCCUAGUUGCCUUCCCUCCAUGACGGCUAGAGGUGGACGGCUUCUCUGUGCCCAUGUCGAGUAGCUCAUCCACUGUCAUCACUACGGCCUGUGGCAUCGAACCACCGUACAUCUUCAUGUACUUCUUCUUCUGAGCCUCCUUGGGUGGUUCCACCUCUUUGGUAAUGCCCCACUUGCACAUGAGCACACCCUGUGCUCGUUCCACCGGGAGCUUUGCAGAUACUUUCUCAGCCACCUUCUGUGCUAGAUGGUUGCUCCUCCAUGGUGUGGCCGUGGUAGUUGUUCUGCCACCAUGGGUUCCAUAGGAGCAGGUGAUGCAGCAAGUGGUGCCUCUGCUUGUGCUGGUGGUAUAGGUGCAGGCGCUACUGGUGGUAUUGGCACUGUCUGUGCUACUACUGCUGUUGGGAGGGGUGUCGGUAGUGUCUCUGCUACUGCUGCUGCUGGGAAUGGUGGCGCUGCUAGGAGGGUGCCAGUGUUGCUGUGGCUACAAGGAUCGGAGCAUCAGGUAGGAUUGGGGUUAGGGGAGGCACAACAAGUGUGCUGAUCAAGAGUGUUGUCGCGGUGGAUGGCUGGAGGUCCGACACAGCACCAGUGUUUGGAUGAUCUAUCUCCUAUGGGGGAGCGAAGGAGAUCACUUGGAAGUGCCUCCUUUUCAGAAUCCUCAUCUAGCAGGGGCCUAUUUUGCAGUCCAAGGAACUCUUGCUCCCACUCUUCCAGUGGGCUGAAGUUGUUCUUUAGUGUUGGGCUUGGCCAUUUGUUGAACCACAGCUCUCCAUCGGGGCCAAUUAAGAAGUCAGGUGUAGAGUGAGCCGAGCUUACCACCAGUUCGGCUGGCGAUCAAGGUAGCCUAGAUUCCAAAGGUCUCGAUGAGUAGGGGGGCCACCAGUGGCUCCAGCUGGGGAAGCUUGGUCGGGGUUGGCAGAGGUGGUCACGACAGCAGCAAGCUGGCCUCUAGUAGCAUUGGGUCCUUGAGCUGGAGCCCCUCCAUGCCCACCAGAAUUGGUGGAGGGAGCUUUGCAAUCAUAGGGGCCUUAGUUGGAUGGGUGACCUAUUUAGGCACACUCGACAACUGGGGCCCCUAGCUUGGUGCUAAUGACCUGGGGACCCACCUCUAGCACGGUGAGACGUCAUGGAUGUGGGAGUACAUCAGCACCGUGUUGCGGAUGUGGUGGCGCUGCCAAUCGCCAGGUGCAUCGACCGCCGCCCGCCAUCGCCAUUGGAGGAAUGGCCUCGCACAAGAUAGCCACCCCGUUGAUGCGAGGAGGCCGUGUCCUUUCGCUGGAACAGCCACCGUGUCCCGCUCACGAGGGCCCAGCCAGCUAUGCACUGGUGGCCGUGGGAUGAGUCAUUUGCCAUCCUUCAUGCCAUAGUGCUACAGGAAGGUGUACGACUUGGGCAAAAGCUCUCCUAGGGCAGAGGGGUUGAAGUCAAUGAUGUGGUCGAGGUGGAGCAGGAUAUCGUACGACAGUAGGUUCACCAGACCUGCAAGGCACGGGCGGCGUGCCAAAGCAACGCCCCUGUUGAAGUGCCACACUUCCUCAUCACGGUCGGACACCGCCUCCAGCUGCAGCACUCUGGACAUGGCAAAGUUGUCGGGUUUCUUGGCCCACAGCUGCAGCACUCUGUGUUCUUUGUGCGGUAAUCCAGCCGCUCCAUCAGUGCCUCCUUGGGGAAGAGCAGCACCAUCGUCUCGAGCUGGUGGGAAUAUGGUGGCACCCCCUCGAUGCAGAUGUGCAGCUUGUACUUGAGCAUGGAGGCCGCCACGUGUGACAGCUUGGUCCAUGGCAUGAUCUUGAUGGAAUCACCCCCGAUCUUGAGAGUGGCCGGAAGGGACAGCGCCCUGUCACGGAGGUCGUCUUCCUUGAAAUGCACAAGGAACCCCUUUGGACAAUACCACCUCAUAGACAUCAGGUCCCUGGGGACCUUCCACCAUUGGCAGAAUGCAGUGUGUAAGGAAAAUGGUCCUAGCUAUGCCAUUAGUGAUUUUGGUGAUUGUGUGUCAACACUAACCUAUGGGACUAACAAUGUUUGCGAGUAUACAAGGCUUAGUCAUAUGGAUGCAAGGUAAUUGACUUGGGUGAUCAAACACAUCAAAACAAAGGUCAAGAGGACAUGUACAAGAUCCUAAAAACCUUAAAGCAACCCAAGACAUCAUAAAAAGAGAAGCUGCCUCAAAGACACAUGAAGAAAUGAAGCAAAACGGUAAAUAUUCAUCACAGUCGCAAUAUCAUAGUAUCAAUCGGUGAUCAUAGUCGCAGUAUCAGAGUAUAAGUCGGUGAUCAUAGGAUCAUACGGUGAUGGUCAUGAAGGGAGCAUAGUAUGAAUUGGUGAUUGGCUUGGUUUGAAGUCAACAUGCAUCAUAGGAUGAUACGAUGAUCACAGUCACAAUAUCAGAGUAUAAGUCGGUGAUCACAGUCACAAUCAUGGUAUGAAUCGGUGAGAUCGGCUCAAAUUCGGCUUUGGAAGUUUUUAUGCAUACAUGAAAUGAUAUGAUGAUCAUAGUCACAAUAUCAUAGUACGAAUUGGUGAUAAUCGAUUGAUACGGUGAUGGCUAUGAGGGGUCAUAGUAUAAGUCAGUGAUCGCAGUUUUUGUGACCAUUGGAGCAACGGCUAGUUUCUUAGCUUAAGGCUAUAAAUACCCCUUUGCCGGCCAUUUCAAGUGUGUUAGAGCUUGGAGAAGCUAUAGACUUGGUUCUCACAUACACACAAGUGCUCUCUCCACCAAAGUGCUAAAGAGAAGAUUAAGGCAAUUAGAAAAAAGGCUUAGGUUUUGGUUAGUGCUAGUUUAGGCCUAUUAGCGCAUUGCUUUAGGAUUUAGCCUAGAGUUAGGCAAGCUUUGCACACCUAUUUUGUAUUGGUGCUUGCACGCACCAAGAGUUGUAAAUCCGGGGCUUGUAAGUCUUGCGAGACCCUCCAACCGCGUUUGUGGAGUGGCUGCUGGUGCUUGUGAGAGGGAGGAGAGGCUCUCGGCAUUUUGCCAAAACUCUACAAAGUGAAGAGCGGCAAGGAGCAUUUAGGAAAGGCUAGGUAGAGACCCACUUACACACGGGGAAGACCCGUUGACUAUCCUAUGGAGUUAUUUAACCGAGGAGUUUAUGCCCUUGUGCGGGCAUUCCCUUUGAGAGGGGCUCCAAUAAUGACUAGUGGAAAGCUUUGCUUUCUGAUACCUCGGUAAAAAUCGCAGUGUCGCCACGCUUGAGAGUUUGCCGUCUCAACCUCAUUUACUUUUAGCAUUUCUUAUUGCACUUACUUUCCACGUUUACCUUUCCUAGAAUUUCCAUGUGUAGUUUAUCGGUGGUGAUGACCAAAAUUGGCAUCACAAAAGUUUGUUGUGUGAAUCUAGGAAAACCGGUCUAAAAACCGGUCAGACCGGUUUUACAAACAUUGUCAAAUCUCUGAUUAGACUUCACCAUUGCGUAGAUCUCGUCAAGAUGAUCGAAAUGCAUGUGUAGAACGUCCAAUUUGGAGUCCAGAUGAGAAAGUUAUGGUUCUGACAAGAUUCAGCCCUGUGCUGACCGAUCUGACCAGUUAGGAUGAACGGUCUAACUGGUUUGACCAGCCUAAUCCGAGUUAGGAGUUGUAUUUUCACACGAGAUUUGUAUAACCUUCGACUACUAUUAGGGCAAGACAUUUUUUUCGUAAACUAGUCGUACUUCGCCACGUAAGUGUGUUGGUUAUCCCUUUGCUGGUUUGCUCGUAAACCUAGCUGUCUUCCAUCAUGUAAGUGUGGUAGUUAUCCUCUUGAAUGAUCGAUCUUGGCAAAACCCUAGGAAACUGGUCCAAACGGGUUGCUAGACCGGUCUAACCGGUCUGAGCAGCAUCACUAUCAUUCGGUUUGUUCGCGACCCACACACUCUAGUGCUUUUGUGUGUUGGUCCCAAAUUUGCGCCAACAAUAGGAUUGGAACCUAGGGUGCAAAACUAUUUUAUGGUAGAGAUAGCAACAUAUAGAAAAACCUAGUGAACAUCUAGAUAGAAAUUGAAAUAGGUUUUUAUAUGUUCUUGGAGCCUUAGAUUUUAUAACACUUAAUUCACUCCCCCUCUUAGGGUGUCCUGGUCCCUUCAAUUAGUAUCAAAGCUGGUGGCUCAUAUUUGGACCAUUGGCUUCACUGCCAUUGAGAAAAACGACAUCCGAAGAGGUUAGGUGUGAUCUCGGUAAGCCUCCACACUUUUGACGGCACUAAUUUCCCCUAUUGGCAUGUUCACAUGUCAUGUUUUCUAAAGGCGAAAGGCUUAGGUGUUUGGAGAGUGAUGAAACAUGGAAUGAGACCCUAGUUCGGCCAAACAACCCCACCAAGGCCGAUGAAAAAUAGUUGCAUCUCAAUGCUAUUGCUCGAAAUUCAAUUUUUGAAUCUCUUAGUAUUGAGGUGUUUAAUAGAGUCUAUGAGCUUGAAAGUGCACAUGAAAUAUGGACCGCACUCAUGGAGCUCCACAACGGCACGAGUGACAUUAAGGAGCAAAAGUAUAGCUUGAUCAAAGAAACUUUUGAUUCCUUUAAAAUGUUGCCUAAUGAAUUAGCUAAUGACAUGUACUCAUGCUUGAAUGUUAUUGUCAAUGAGCUAAAUGCAAUAGGUUUGACCAAGCUAUCUGAUGUGGAUAUCUCAAGAAAGAUCAUUCAUGUUCUUCCCAAGGAUAAGUAUGCCACCAUUGUCACCUACUUCCAUUGCUUUGAAGACAUGAACAAGUUGAAGCCAACCAAGCUCUUGAACAAGAUCAUUGCCUAUGAGCUAUCCCUGAAGAUUACCAAAAGCCCUUCUCCCUCAAGUCUAGAUGUUGGCACAUCAAGCAAAGAAGAAAAGAAGGAGAAGGAAGAGAAAAGUGAAGAUAAACAAGAAUCUACCACAUAAGGCAAGAAAACUCAAGAGCAAGAAUUAAGUUAAAGCUCAAGCUCAAGUGAAUCUUCAAGUUCAAGUGAAGAAGAAGAAAGUAAUGAUGAGGUGGAAGAUGAAGAGGAUGAUCAAGAAAGUAGUGAAAUCAAGCAACUUGUGAAAGGAGUGAACAAGCUACUCAAAAAUCUCAACUCCAAGGGUGUCCCUAUGGAACCAUUGGUUCACCACAACCUAAGGAAAAAGAAGAAUGAAUGUCUUGGUUGUGGUGAUGAGGGACAUUGAGUAUUGUCUGUUGAUGGAGAAGAGACACAGGCAAAGAAAGAAAGAAAGAAAGAAAGAAAAGAAAGGAAGAAGGAGAAGAAGGCAAGCAAGAAGAAGGCCUUCACAAGCAUUGCAAAGGGUGGGUUUGAUAUGACAAGCUCAAGUGAUGAAGAAACCCACCACAAGUCACGUGCCUUCUUAUCAUCAUCAAGCUCAUCGCACAUUUGCCUAAUGGCCAAAGGUAUGAAUAAGAGUGAUGGAAGUGAUGAUGACUCCUCCCCUUUCAUUCAUGAGCUUGCGGAUCUUGUUCGUAGUCAAGAGGUAGCAAUAACAAAACUUCUUACCAAAAACAAGGAACUCCAAUUAUAAAGAAAUUGGCUGAAAGGUUUGAUGAGAUCAUUGACCAAAAUAAUGAGCUAACUAAGAAAAUUGAGGUCCUUGAACAAUCUAAAACUACGUCUAACAAGUCAUCCACACCUUUUCAAAAUAAAUCUAAAACGGAUGCCUCUACUUCUUGCAUUGAUUUAAUUGAUAAAUCUUGCUCACCAUCUUGCAAUGAGACUUAUGCCAAGAAUGUUGUUGUAGAAACAUGUGACAAUCUUAUUGCUCAAGAAAAUGAUGAGUUCAAGCAAGAAGUAGAAAGGCUCACAAAGGACUUGACAAGGCUUAGGGGCAAAGAAAAGGCAAAUGAGAGCAAGAAACAACCUGCUCAAGAUAAUCAUCCUAAGAUGGUGAAGAAGCUUGAGAAGGGUGCAACCGUGACUUGCUACUCAUGCCAUCAAGAAGGUCACAAGUCCUAUGAGUACAAGAAUAAUAAGAAGGGGGAUCAAAAGAAGAAAGUCAACUCCAACACCAAGCCUUACUUGAAGGUUGACAAGAAGAAGAGCACACCCUACCUCCUCAAGAAGAAAGAUGACAAGGUAGUGGCUCACUUGAUCAACAAGCAAGGCAAGGGGUGGAACCAACCUGUUUGGGUGCCUAAGGAAAUCAUCACUACCAUGAAGGGUUCCAACAAGGUUUGGGUUCCAAAGGUGACUUAGAGUCCAUGGGACUCAAGAGAUAUUGGAGACUUGGCCACAAGAGAAGAGCAUUUCAUGCAAGUGCCAAGUUAAUCAAGAUUUGGAGCAAGUUGCAAAUCAUUGAUGAAUUCAAUACCAAAAUCCUCCAAAGGUAAUUAGGUAACUAGAUGUUCCUUCAUGCUCUUUCAAUUAGCAUCUAGUUCCUAUAUAUACUUGUCUAGGAUUGCAUGAGCAUAUUUAAAUUCCUUUGCAUUUCCUAGUGUGCAAUUUCAUAUGGUAGGUUGCUUAUACUUCUCUCUAACCCAUGAGCAAUCUACAUGGCUUAUUAGUUGUAGGAAAAUGGCACUAGUGUUUAUUUCAUAUCUUAUGUGCCAAUUCCAAGUCAUAGGAUAACUUCCCAAUGUCGUUAUUGACUAAGUGUAUGUCUCUCACAAGUAAUUCAAAUACUUGUAUGCACAUAUUUAGAGGGAGCUAUGCUAUGGUUUGUGAUUUUGAGACUAACAUUGUUUGCGAGCAUAUCAUGUAUGGUAGUCUCAUGUUGCAAGAAAUCAAUCCCUAGAGAUAUGCAAGUUUUAUCCUUCAAAUGGUGCUUAAAUGUUCACUUGAUAUCUUUGUCUACAUUGAUAUCAUGCAUUUCAAUUCAUAUAAAGUUAUCUCCAUGCAUAAUAUAGAUUAAUUUCCUCAUCUUGUCUUAAUUGACUAGUCAUGCAUAUGCUUUGCCAUUCACUAUACGUAUGCACACACUUAGUGGGAGCUUAGUCUAUGUUAUGUGAGUUUCAUUUUCAUGAUCUUAUUUGCCUUCCACAACCAAAAGAUCAUGAUCUAUGAAACUCUCCCUUGUGUUUUUAAUGUCUUCCUUUUUCGGUGUUUGGUUCCAAAGGGGGAGAAUUUUAAUGACCAAAGCAAGUAAACCUCGAAUGGGGAGCCGCCCUUAAGGGGGAGCAUGCAAGAAAGUAAGAACUGCAAGUGUUAGGGAGAUUGUAUAUUUCAAGCUUGGGGGAGAUUGCAAAAAUUUGGUCCAAGAAAGGGAGAAAAAUGGUAUUGGAAUAAGGGGGAGCCUUAUGACCACAUGACCACAUGAGGGGGAUUUCAAAUUGGUUUUGAAAUUGGUACGAGCAAGGUAUGGUUUAAUUCAAUUUGGUAUUCAUUUCAUAUUUCAAUUAGCAUAUGUUCUUGCUCUUGCAUUGCCUCCAAGCAAGUAGUUAUAUUUAAUUUCCCUAUUAUUGCUUUCUUUGGUUGUGUUGGCAUCAAUCAUCAAAAAGGGGCAGAUUGUAAGGAAAAUGGUCCUAUCUAUGCCAUUAGUGAUUUUGGUCAUUGUGUGUCAACACUAACCUAUGGGACUAAAAAUAUUUGCGAGUAUACAAGGUUUAGUCACAUGGAUGCAAGGUAAUAGACUUGGGUGAUCAAACGCAUCAAAACAAAGGUCAAGAGGACAUGUACAAGACCCUAAAAGACCUUAAAGCAACCCAAGACAUCAUAAAAGAGAAGAUAGGAUAAAGACACAUGAAGAAAUGAAGCAAAAUGGUGAAGAUUCAUCACAAUCACAAUAUCAUAGUAUCAAUCGGUGAUCACAGUCGCAAUAUCAGAGUAUAAGUCGGUGAGCAUAGGAUGAUAUGUCAAUGGUCAUGAAGGGAGUAUAGUAUGAAUUGGUGAUUGGCUUGGUUGAAGUCAACAUGCAUCAUAGGAUGGUACAGUGACCACAGUCGCAAUAUUAGAGUAUAAGUUGGUGAUCACAGUUGCAAUCAUGGUAUGAAUCGGUGUGAUCGGCUCAGCUCGGCAUCGGCUCAAAUUCGGCUCUGGAAGUUUUUAUGCAUACAUGAAAUGAUACGGUGAUCAUAGUCGUAAUAUCAUAGUAUGAAUCGGUGAUCACCGAUUGAUUCGGUAAGGGCUAUGAGGGGUCAUAGUAUAAGUCGGCGAUCACUGUUUUUGUGACCGUUGGAGCAACAGCUAGUUUAUUGGUUUGAGGCUAUAAACAUCCCUUUACCUGACCAUUUCAAGUGUGUUAGAGCUUGGAGAAGCUAUAGGGUUCGUUCUAACAUACACACAAGUGCUCUAUCCACCAAAGUACUAAAGAGAAGAUUAAGGCACUUAGCAAAAGGCUUAGGUCUUGGUUAGUGCUAGUUUAGGCCUAUUAGUGCAUUGCUUUAGAAUUUAGCCUAGAGUUAGGUGAGGUUUGCAUACCUCUUUUGUAUUGUUGGAGGUAUGCCCUAGAGGCAAUCAUAGAGAUGAUGAUAUUCCAUUUGUAUUCAUGAUUUAUAGUGUGUUCCUUGAAUAUCCAUUAAAGGCUACUUGAAUUGAUUUGCAAUUAUGUGAAUUGUAUGUGAAACUCUUUACUUGUAUGGUUAUUCUAAAGUUGUCCCUAGUCGGAGUUCAUGUGAGGACACACAUGAAUAUUAGACUAGCACAUGUAUUAGUUGAUGACUAUGUUUCACAUGUCAUGGACAUGGAGAUGUUGAACUAAUAAUGUGGGCACAUGUGGAGACAUGUGCUAGGACUGACCCAACACGAGAAGUAGUUCUCUCUUUACACAACAUAUACGUUUUGUCCUUAGACCUGAGAUUGUCGACUGUACUCAAGAUGUGGAUCGACUUACUCAGGGGCUAUCAAACGCUACAUCGUAACAGGGUAGUUAUAAAGGUAGCUUUUGGGUUUGUCAAGAAGCAUGCUAUGAGACAUGGUCAAUCAAGAUGGGAUUUGCCCCUCUCUGAUUGAGAGUGAUAUCUCUGGGGCCCUCGAGUGAUCGGAUCCGAAAAUGCAUGGCCAUGCUACGAACGGUUAAGAGUUAACCUACAAAGGGAUUCUGAAUCACAGGAUUGAGAAAGAGCGGUCGGCUUGGAGCUAGACCAAAUAUCGUGAGGCAAAGGGAAUAGCAUGUACAUAAUGUUGUGAUGGUUCGUCUGAUAUGAUCUUCGUGUGCGUAUAGGAGUUGGCACAUCUUGCUAGAGACCGCUACCGACUAUUGGGCUGAGUAGGAGUACUCGGGUCAUGUCUAUACGUAUCCGAACCCAUGGGGUCACACACUUAAGGGGCUGGAAGCCCAAUUCAGAUGUGAUCCGAGUUGGAUUAGGUUUAGAAGUACUAAUGGGCCUCGAACCCAGAGGCCCAUUAGGAACCUCUAUAAAUAGAGGGGUGGGGGCGCCCUAGGGUUGACACCUUUUGGCGAAACACAUCUGCUGCGCCUCCCACGCCCUCGCCUGUUGCAACUCGCGGACCUAGCAGUCCGGCUUGCAACGCUUCCUCCCUGCACGUGUGGAUACCUUGGAGGUGUUGCGCCUGCAGCACUUGGACGAUCCACCGACGAGCUACGACGAGCCGCCGACGAGCCACGACGAGCCGACGACGAGCCGCGGCACGAGGGCGAUCGUGCUACACGUGGACGAGCUGCUGAGGAGCUGCUGGACGUCAACGUGAUCGACUACGUAUGACUACGCUGAUCGACUUCGCUGCAUCGACGCGAAUCUACAUCUUCCGCAUCAUUGCGUCGAGUGGUAAUCCCGUGAUCCUUAUACGGCAGUUUUCCUGGUUUACGCGGUAGAAAAUUUUGAUUUGCGCUAGUGUAGCCUACCUCGUAUCCCAACAGUGGUAUCAGAGCUGUAGCUGUUUAGUUUUGGAUUCGGGAUGUGUGCAUAUGGAGAUAUGCGAGUUUUCAAUUUGAUCUAUGUCCUAGUUUCGUGUUCUUGCUGCAAUGGUUGUGUAACGACAUACUCCUACCGGUCGGGUUUCCACCAUCGGAGUUAAGUGAUGCACGUAAUGCCAGUUGCAGCGAGAGAAGAUCAAUGUGAUUGGUCGAAUCGAGAUCCAGGUUCAUACACCAAGCACAUGAGAUGUGCAAUAGUAUAUUGGAUCUACUACCGGGUCGGAAUUUUGCCGUGUGCGUGUGCUUCGGUAAAACAGCCGUAACUUUUUGGUACGAUCUCGGAUCGAGGCGAAUUUUAUAUAAAAAUUGAUCUACAGAAAAAGUUACACCUGAUUACGACAACUUUGCUAGUUUUGGAGAAAUUAGAUUUCCCAAAUUCGGCCUCUAAGAUGGAGUUUCGGGCCUCUGAAGUUUGGAACGUUAGAACGCCUAACUCUGUUUUGCAGGAUGUAUGUAUCUUGUGAUCAGUAUGGCCUUUGUGUAUGUGAUGCAUGUGUGUAACUCAUUCGUGAUCUGCGUGUCGCGUGUACGGCAACACGGCUGAAGCCAUAUGUGUUGUCACUUUAAUGUAUUUAAUGGUCUGCGUACCAAUCUGUGAUGAUCCAAGCAACUAUGUAAUCUUCAUUACUAGCUUCUUUACUAGCUAUUAGGCGUAAUAGCAUGUUCUAGUUCUUGGAGGACUCAUCACCAGGAGAAUGACACACAUGGAACAUGGAGAUGGAGAUCACCAUGGUGAACAGGUUCUGUGGAGAUGGAGAUCACCAUAAAAAAACGGGCCAUACUGUGUCACAAUUGUGUGAAUGCUAUUAUGUUUAUGUUUUACUUUCUGCAUGCUGUGAUGUUAGAAGUAGAACAAUCCCUCACAAAGUUUAAGUUAGUAUGCCCUCCCAACUGAAACUUUCACCAUCCCAUGUCUUGUACAAUUACUGGUGGGUCUAUGAAAUUAGGGUGCUACUAGUUUUCCUUGACUAGACGGGUUUGUGUCGGACACUUACACGCAUAAGGGUUGGUUUGCUUAACAAGGUUAUCUUAACGGUUAAGGACCUUCGGGCAUAAAGGUUGGGCGCCGAGACAUGGAGAUGUCACCCAACAACAGGAGUCAUAUGUGAUAUGAUUAGCAAGAAGUUGCUUACCGAUCUACCUUGUUUGCUAGUGGUGAUGCUAAAGCUCACUAGUAGACUUGUUAGUUGUGGAUUCUGAAUCACUAAGUAUCAAUAGAGGGAUAUUGAUUUUAGUGGGAGUAGAUUCUGUUAAAAUAGUUUAAUAUAAUUUUCUCUAUCAUGGAUACGUUUGUUUUAGUGUAUUUUGCAUUACUUUUGUUGUAGAUUAAAUGGCACCUAGCAGCACUACACCGUUUGUUUUGCGUUCGGUCCUUGAGAAGGACAAGUAGAAUGGAACAAACUACUCGGAUUGGAUCCGUAACCUGAGAAUUGUUCUCAGGGCUGAGAAAAAGGAAGAUGUUCUAGACAACCCACUACCAGAAGAACCUGCUGAUGAUACACCUGCUGCUGCUAAGAAUGCUUACAAGAAAGCAUGUGAUGCUAACCUCGAAGUAAGCUGUCUUAUGCUUGCUUGCAUGGAACCCGAGCUGCAGAUGCAGUUCGAAACAAACCAUGAGGCGCACGAUAUGAUCGUGGCGCUUAGAGACAUGUUCCAAACACAGGCCAGGACUGAAAGGUUCAAUGUGUCUAAGGCUUUUGUGGAGAGCAAGCUAGCAGAAGGCGCAGCAGUAGGACCACACGUAAUCAAGAUGGUUGGUUACACUCAACGGUUGGAGAAGCUGGGCUUCCCACUAGGCCAAGAGUUGGCCACUGAUUUCAUUCUUUCGUCUCUUCUGCCUAGCUAUGGGAACUUCAUCUCGAACUACCAUAUGCAUGGGACGGAGAAGGGUCUGAAUGAGCUGUGUGGCAUGCUUAAAACAGCAGAGGCUGACAUCAAGAAAAGCGCUAGUAGCAGCCAUGUGAUGGCUAUACAGAACAAGCCUAGCUUUAAGAAGAAGGGCAAUUCUUGGAAGAAGAAGGGCAAGGCUGGAACGUCCAAGCCAAACCCAGCGCCCAAGGUUAAAGCUGGACCUGGACCUGCUCCAGACAAAGAGUGCUUUUACUAUCAUGAACUUGGUCACUGGAAGAGAAAUUGCAAGCAGUACCUAGCUUCGUUGAAGAAUGGCGGAAGUAAGAGUACUUCCACCUCAGGUAUGCUUGUUAUUAAUGUUAUAGACAACAUAUUUUUCGCUGAUACAAUUAUUAAUUCUUGGGUAUUUGAUACCGGAUCGGUUGCUCAUAUUUGCAAUUCGAUGCAGGGAAUGAUAAGAAGUAGAAGCGUGGAAAGAGGAGAAGUUGAUUUCCGCGUGGGAAAUAAUGCAAGAGUUGCUGCGUUGACCAUCGGGAUGAUGCAACUCCACCUCCCGUCAGGAUUUAUUAUGGAGUUGAAUAAUUGUUAUUUCGUUCCUAGUUUAAGUCGAAACAUUUUGUCUCCUUCAUGCUUGAUGAAGGAUGGUUAUUCAUUUGCGAGUGAAAACAAUGGUUGUGUGAUCUCUAAGAAUGAUAUGUUUAUGGCUUUUGCACCCAUUGUGAAUGGAUUGUCUGUUUUAAAUCUUGAUGGUUCACCUGUCUGUAAUGUAAGUGCUAAAAGGCCUCGGCCUAAUGGUUUGAGUUCUACCUACUUGUGGCAUUGUCGUUUGGGUCAUAUAAGUGAAAAACGCAUGAAGAAGCUCCAUUCUGAUGGACUUCUAACUUCGUUUGAUUUUGAAUCAUACGAGACAUGUGAGGCUUGCUUGCUAGGCAAGAUGACCAAGAUGCCUUUCACAAGUUUUCCUGAGAGAGCAGUAGACUUGUUGGAACUCGUACAUAGCGAUGUAUGCGGAUCAAUGAGCACGACGGCUAGAGGAGGAUUCCAAUACAUCAUAACUUUCACUGAUGAUUUUAGUAGAUAUGGCUAUGUCUACUUGAUGAGGCACAAGUCUGAAACCUUUGAAAAGUUCAAGGAAUUUCAGAAUGAAGUUGAAAAUCAGCGUGGCAAGAAAAUUAAGGCCUUAUGAUCUGAUUGUGGAGGUGAGUAUUUGAGCCACGAGUUUAGCAAUCAUCUAAAGAGUUGCGGAAUUGUUCCACAACUUACGCCGCCUGGAACACCUCAGAGAAACGGUGUAUCCGAGCGACAUAAUCGAACUUUGUUAGACAUGGUUCGAUCAAUGAUGAGCCAAUCGGACCUACCGUUGUCAUUUUGGGGAUACGCUCUAGAAACAGCAGCUUUCACACUUAAUAGGGUACCAUCUAAAUCCGUAGUUAAGACACCAUAUGAGAUGUGGACUGGAAAAGUUCCCAGUUUGUCUUUUCUAAAGAUUUGGGGAUGUGAAGUGUUUGUCAAGCGACUUCAGUCGGACAAGAUCACACCCAAGUUAGAUAAGUGUAUUUUCGUGGGAUAUCCAAAGGAAACUUUGGGAUAUUAUUUCUACAACCGGUUAGAGGGCAAAGUGUUUGUCGCUCGGAACGGGGUUUUCUUAGAGAAAGAGUUUCUCAAAGGAGAAAAGAGUGGAAAGACAGUGCAUCUUGAAGAAAUUCAAGAUGAGCCGAUCGGGCAAGAAUCAAUGAGUGAUGCUAACGUAGCAGAACAAGUUGAGAUACCCAUGGCACCGCCACAACCACGAAGGUCGGCAAGGCUCCGCGAAAUGCGGGAAAUAUUAUUGUUGGACAAUGAUGAGCCUGCGACAUAUGCAGAAGCAAUGAUGGACCCAGACUCCGAAAAAUGGCAGAGUGCCAUGCAAUCCGAAAUAGAGUCCAUGGGAGACAAUCAAGUUUGGAACUUGGUUGACCCGCCUGAUGGUGUCAAAGCCAUAGAGUGCAAGUGGAUCUAUAAGAAGAAAAAAGGACAUGGAUGGAAAUGUUCACAUCUAUAAAGCACGACUUGUCGCAAAAGGUUUUCGACAAGUUCAAGGAGUUGACUACGAUGAGACCUUCUCACCCGUAGUGAUGCUUAAGUCCAUUCGGAUUAUUCUAGCUAUAGCUGCAUAUUUCGAUUAUGAGAUAUGGCAGAUGGAUGUCAAGACAGCUUUCCUGAAUGGAAACCUAGCUGAGGACGUGUAUAUGAUACAGCCCGAGGGUUUUGUCGAUCCGAAAAAUGCUGGAAAGGUAUGCAAACUUCAGAGAUCCAUCUAUGGAUUGAAGCAAGCAUCUAGGAGUUGGAACAUUCGUUUUGAUGAAGUGGUCAAAGGGUUUGACUUCACCAAGAACGAAGAAGAGUCUUGUGUUUACAAGAAGGUUAGUGGGAGCUCUGUAGUAUUUCUAAUCUUAUAUGUGGAUGACAUAUUACUGAUUGGAAAUAACAUUUCUAUGCUUGAAUCCGUAAAGACUUCACUGAAAAAUAGUUUUUCGAUGAAGGACUUAGGGGAAGCGGCAUAUAUUCUGGGCAUUAAGAUCUAUAGAGAUAGAUCGAGAAGGCUUAUAGGAUUAAGCCAAGAUACUUACAUUGACAAAGUGUUGAAGCGGUUCAGCAUGGAAGAGGCAAAGAAAGGGUUCUUGCCUAUGUCACAUGGCAUACAUCUCAGCAAGACUCAGUGUCCUUCGACUGCUGAUGAGCGGGAUCGCAUGAAUAGAGUGCCAUAUGCCUCGGCUAUUGGAUCUAUCAUGUAUGCAAUGAUAAGUACUCGCCCAGAUGUUUCAUAUGCGCUAAGUAUGACAAGCAGACACUAGUCUGAUCCAGGUGAGAGUCACUGGACAGCGGUGAAAAACAUUCUUAAGUACUUGAGAAGGACUAAAGAUAUGUUCCUCGUCUAUGGAGGUGAGGAGGAGCUCGUUGUAACAGGUUACACCGAUGCUAGUUUCCAAACACACAGAAAUGAUUCAAAGUCACAAUCAGGAUUUGUGUUCACGCUAAAUGGUGGUGUUGUUAGUUGGAAGAGUUCCAAGAAGGAGACGGUGGCCGAUUCUACGACAGAAGCCGAGUACAUCGCGGCUUCGGAAGCCGCGAAGGAGGGUGUUUGGAUAAGGAAUUUCCUCAUUGAGCUUGGUGUGUUCCCAAAUGCGUCCAGCCCAUUAAAUCUCUACUGUGAUAAUAAUGGGGCAAUUGCGCAAGCAAAGGAGCCAAGGAACCACCAGAAGAACAAACACGUAAUGCGGCGAUUUCAUCUCAUUCGAGACUUCGUUAACCGGGGUCAGAUCAAGAUAUGCAAAAUACACACAAAUCUAAACAUUUCUGAUCCGUUGACAAAACCACUCCCGCAGGCUAAGCAUGAUGCGCAUGUAAGAGCUAUAGAUAUUAGGUACCUUCUAGAUUGACUCUAGUGCAAGUGGGAGACUGUUGGAGGUAUGCCCUAGAGGCAAUCAUAGAGAUGAUGAUAUUCCAUUUGUAUCCAUGAUUUAUAUUGUGUUCCUUGAAUAUCCAUUAAAGGCUACUUGAAUUGAUUUGCAAUUAUGUUAAUUGUAUGUGAAACUCUUUACUUGUAUGGUUAUUCUAAAGUUGUCCCUAGUCGGAGUUCAUGUGAGGACACACAUGAAUAUUAGACUAGCACAUGUAUUAGUUGAUGACUAUGUUUCACAUGUCAUGGACAUGGAGAUGUUGAACUAAUAAUGUGGGCACAUGUGGAGACAUGUGCUAGGACUGACCCAACACGAGAAGUAGUUCUCUCUUUACACAACAUAUACGUUUUGUCCUUAGACCUGAGAUUGUCGACUGUACUCAAGAUGUGGAUCGACUUACUCAGGGGCUAUCAAACGCUACAUCGUAACAGGGUAGUUAUAAAGGUAGCUUUUGGGUUUGUCAAGAAGCAUGCUAUGAGACAUGGUCAAUCAAGAUGGGAUUUGCCCCUCUCUGAUUGAGAGUGAUAUCUCUGGGGCCCUCGAGUGAUCGGAUCCGAAAAUGCAUGGCCAUGCUACGAACGGUUAAGAGUUAACCUACAAAGGGAUUCUGAAUCACAGGAUUGAGAAAGAGCGGUCGGCUUGGAGCUAGACCAAAUAUCGUGAGGCAAAGGGAAUAGCAUGUACAUAAUGUUGUGAUGGUUCGUCUGAUAUGAUCUUCGUGUGCGUAUAGGAGUUGGCACAUCUUGCUAGAGACCGCUACCGACUAUUGGGCUGAGUAGGAGUACUCAGGUCAUGUCUAUACGUAUCCGAACCCAUGGGGUCACACACUUAAGGGGCUGGAAGCCCAAUUCAGAUGUGAUCCGAGUUGGAUUAGGUUUAGAAGUACUAAUGGGCCUCGAACCCAGAGGCCCAUUAGGAACCUCUAUAAAUAGAGGGGUGGGGGCGCCCUAGGGUUGACACCUUUUGGCGAAACACAUCUGCUGCGCCUCCCACGCCCUCGCCUGUUGCAACUCGCGGACCUAGCAGUCCGGCUUGCAACGCUUCCUCCCUGCACGUGUGGAUACCUUGGAGGUGUUGCGCCUGCAGCACUUGGACGAUCCACCGACGAGCUACGACGAGCCGCCGACGAGCCACGACGAGCCGACGACGAGCCGCGGCACGAGGGCGAUCGUGCUACACGUGGACGAGCUGCUGAGGAGCUGCUGGACGUCAACGUGAUCGACUACGUACGACUACGCUGAUCGACUAUGUACGACUAUGCUGAUCAACUUCGCUGCAUCGACACGAAUCUACAUCUUCCGCAUCAUUGCGUCGAGUGGUAAUCCCGUGAUCCUUAUACGGCAGUUUUCCUGGUUUACGCGGUAGAAAAUUUUGAUUUGCGCUAGUGUAGCCUACCUCGUAUCCCAACAUGUAUCGGUGCUUGCACGCACCAAAACAAUCCGAGGCUUGUAAGUCUUGAAAGACCCUCCAACCACGUUUGUGGAGUGGCCAUCGGUGCUUGUGAGAGGGAGGAGAGCCCUCGACAUUUUGCCGAAGCUCUACCAAGUGAAAAGCGGCAAGGAGCAUCCGAGAGAGGCUAGGCGAAGACCCAUUUGCACGUGAGGAAGGUCCGUCGGCUAUCCUACGGAGUUACUUGACCGGGGAGUUUAUGCCCUCACGCAGGCAUUCCCUUUGAGAGGGGCUUCAACAACGAGAACUAGUGGAAAGCUUUGCUUUUCGAUACCUCGGUAAAAAUCGCCGUGUCACCACGCUCAAGAGUUUGCCUUCUCUACCUCAUUUACUUUCCGCAUUUCUUAUUGCACUUACUUUCCGCAUUUACCUUUCCUAGAAUUGCCAUGUGUAGUUUAUAGGAUUGAAACCUAGGGUGCAAAACUCUUUUACGGUAGAGAUAGCAACAUAUAGAAAAACCUAGUGCACAUUUAGAUAGAAAUUGAAAUAGGUUUUUAUAUGUACUUGGAGCCUUAGAUUUUAUAACACCUAAUUCACCCCCUCCCCUUUUAGGGUGUCACGGUCCCUUCACAGCGGUCACCUGGGGGUAGGGGAGCGACUCGCAAUCGCCCAUGACCACCACUACCACAGCAUUGUGGUAGAGGUCCUCCUCGUUGUAGCCCAUCACUGCGGUGUUUGGAGCACAUGCGCACACUAGGUAAGGACAACAGUGCGGCUCACCCGGGAUGUACUCUAUGGAGACAAAGUUGGGGGUGGAGGUGGUGUGUGACGAGGUUGCGGCUCUACUGGGGAGUGGGGGGCACUCUUCACGCGGUGGUGGUGGGGGCGGUGUGUGGCGGAUCCACUUUGAAUUAGCUUGAUUAAACAUGAUUAAGUCGCCUAAUAUGCGACACUCAUGCCUUAGCCAAGUUAACACGAAGUGCCGUCGGAUUUCAUCCGAUUUAACCACUUGAACAGGACCGAGUUAGCAAACUCACACGAAGGUGAGCGGUUCCAGAGAAUACAACAAGUCCACCAAGUUAAACAAUUUGACCAUUUAGUUCAACACUAAAACAAACAUCAGAGUUUUACAAGGUUCCAAAGAAAACUACAGAAGGUAAAACAGCAAGCGGAAGCUACUUCGUCGGGGUCGAACAUCCCUGGUGAGGCCAGCCAGGACGUCAGUGAUCCCUCUCCUUGCCGUCCGAGAAGGGAUCCCACUCAACCGUCCAACCCGGAGGGAGUUGGGGCGGCCAAGUGCCAACAGAAGAAGGCUCGGAAGUAGCAACUUCACCUGAAAAAGAAGAAGCCACAACAAGGCUGAGCUACUAAGCUCAACAAGACUUAACCGACAUGAGGAAACUACUCCACCGCUUCUAGACAUGCAAGGCUCUUUGGCUAAGGGGUUUGUUUGCCAAGAAGCUCUAAGUAGAUCCUUACCUUCAAGUUUUAGCUCAGAUUCUAGGUUCAUUAACCGUUCUAAGUUGGCAACUUACUCUAAGCAAACAUAGAACCAACCAAAGGGUAUAUAUAACAUCAUCAAAACCAUAUCAUCAUCAUAUUCCUUUAUUACUCCGGGUAGCAUAGCGAUCAAGCAGUCUCAAACUAUGAGAGGCAGACGAAUCAAUUCGAGUUUCUUAACCAUGCAUGGCGAACCUAAUCUCACGACAUCCGCGCACCACGAGGGUCGCUUCCUGUGUCGGCCGUCCCCAUCAAUUCCUAGGCGCGUGUCAGGUCCAAACUUCCCGUGGCAUACAAUGCUCCACAGUCCCGGUCUCUACCGUACUGUGACCGCACUUGCACCCACAUGAUGCACCAUGGGAACCUCGUUCCAGGGACAGCAGGGGUAUAAGCCAUGCCCUAGUUCAAUCAGGUACUAGGCUUCCCCAUCCCAUACUAGGUAUGAGAUUAGUACUUUCAAACACUUGAUCACGAACACCACCACUGUCGAGCCUUAGCAAGUUUCAUAGACAGACGGGCGAUCAGCCGACCACCAAAAAGUUACCCAACACCUUGCCCGUCCAUCGUCCUUAUAGUUGUAACAGAAGGGAAACAACCAGCUCCUACAACUCGCGAGUGACAGGAAAUCACUCGGCUUUUACCGUUUCCUAAUAAAGCAAGGCAUCUACUCGGUCCAAAAGCUAGUGAUCAGAUCAAGGGGUCCAAGUCUUGCAUCUAGGGUUCCAAACAACUCCUAUACGUAAAUGCACAAACAAGAUGCAGAAAGCAUGCGCAAGUUUUGGGAACAUAGGGGUUUCAUGCAUCCGGGGCUUGCCUUCGAACGAGGAGGAAGGGAAAGGGUCUUCUGCUGGGGCGGCUUCGGCUUCUGGAGGUGGGAGCUCGGCUACAACUCCUUCUUCUGGCGCCGGGUACAACUCGUAGAAGCCGUCGGCGAGAUGCAGCUCUACACGAAUGCAAUGCAUUGGUUAGCAUUUAUACGGUUAUUUCAACAGCAACACUUGCAAGUUUGAGCCCAGAAGCUUGCGGCAAGUUACAGGAGGGUGGGGAGGUUUGCUGGAGUUGGUGGAGAUCAAGAUAAAAGGGUCGGAUGGGAGGAAACUUAUGGUCUGACCCUUAGAAUUGAGGAAUAGAUGUGUUGGGGGGUCCUCCGACUUAGCGCAGAGAAGUCCCCGAGUUUUACACAUACACCCUCGGUUCAAGGAAAAGAUACAGCCGAGCCCUCGGGCGAGGCGGAGAAAGGUCGGCGGAACAGACAGGGUCGGGCGAGACGGAACAGGGGUCGGGCGGACCGAAGGGGUCGGACGAGACAGACAAAGGGUCGGCAGCUUACCUUCGGCUCACAGGUGAAGCUUGGGGUCGGGAAGAAGCAGACGCGGGCGGAAGGACUAAGGCUGGGACAGCGGUGAGGUCCGGCGGUGCUCCAGCGGCGGCGGUGCUUCUUGUGGACCACAAGCAAGCUUCAGCACAACACGGAGGAGCAAGCGGCUGGGUGGAUAGGGAGGGGCGGCUGGAAGAGUUCCUCAGGAACUUAGGCUGUAGCGCUCGAGCACGAAACAGAGAGCAAGGCGGAAGGGUAGCGAUGGCGAAGGGGAACUCCAGCAGGGCUCCGGCAUUCCCUUUUAUAGUUGCGCAGCAGAGAGAAAGAGUUGGAGCGGCACGAAGACCGGGAAGAACGAUGGAGUGCACUGCCGGGGCGGCGAUUGAGCAACGAGAGCGGUGGAGCAGGACUUCGGGGAUGACACCGGCGGCCAUUGGGCACCGAAGACAGGGCGGAGCAGGUACGGUUUUGCCGGUGGUUGAGAUUUGGCGGAGGCGGGCGUCGUCGUGCGGUGGAUCUGAUCGAAGUGACCGGGGGAACGGCGCUAGAAGCGAGGUUGCUCAGGUGAGGGUCAGGCGGGCCGCUGCUGCACGGGCGAGCGCGAAGCAACACUCUGCCGGGCGCAGCACUGACAAGGCAGGAAAGGAGUUGUCGCGGCCGGGGUUUGGAUUGGUGACAGGGGAAUCGUCGCGUAGCGCAGACCCGGGCGGCGCGACUGUGAAGGGGCGACGAAAAAACCGGGACACAUCGGGCCUUGCAGCUGGGGGUCUGGCGAGGUGAUGAUGGGCGCGGGCGGCGAGGCGCUGCAGAAAGAGUAGCAGAGGAGCUUCCGCUGCGAUUGGGGAAGGGGGCGCGAGAAUCCAUCCGGUCGUGGCCGGCGACGAGGCGGAGCGGCGGGCGUCGGAGGAGUUGAGCCACGUGGCUAGGAAACUCUGAAGCGGGCAUGCAACUCGAGUGCGCCUGUCGCGGGAGAUCUGGGAGAAGGAUCUCGUGGGUCCACCGGUCAGUCGCGGUGGUCCACGGCUCAGAUUGAAGGGAGGCGUUGUGGGAGGACUUAGAAAGAUCCGGCGGUGGGUUGGGGUCGGCGGGGUCGGAACUGGGGAAAAACGGCGAGGGGUCGGAUCACAGGGGGUCGGGACCGAGCUGGAGGUUGAGCACUUAGACUUGGUAAACUGAGACAGGGGAUCAGGGACUCGGAUUAAGACUAACAAGAAGGAUUUUAACCGAGGUCGUUACAGCCUACCCCCCUUAAGAAGAAUCUCGUCCCGAGAUUCGGAUGUAGAAGCAAUCGGUGGGGGUGUGUAGCCCUUACCUCCUUGGCUGGAAAGAAAACCCGGGAAGUGCUUGUUCAAGUACUCUUCUGUUUCCCACGUUGCUUCAUCCUCCGUGUGGUUUCUCCAGAGGAUCUUGUACAUUUUGACCACUUGGCGUCGGGUGCACCUCUCCUUCUGGUCAAGGACCUUGGCCGGGUACUCUGCAUAGGUUAGGUCAGGCUCGAUUUGAAGCUGCUCCCGUUCUAAGAUCUCAGUUGGGACCUGGACACAUUUCUUCAGUUGAGACACAUGGAAAACAUCAUGUAUGGCCGAGAGCUGUUCUGGGAGUUGGAUCCGAUAGGCAACGGGUCCACAAAUUUCCACAAUCUCAUAUGGGCCAAUGUAACGGGGAGCCAAUUUCCCUUUUACUCCAAACCGUUGUAUUCCUUUUGUCGGGGAGACCCGAAGAUAUACAUGAUUACCAAUGUCAAACUGUAGGGGCCUUCUUCGCCUGUCCGAGUAACUCUUCUGUCGGGAUUGGGCAGCCUUGAGAUUUGCUUGGAUUACCUUCACUCGCUCUUCGGCCUCUACCACUAAGUCAGGGCCAUAAACUUGUCUCUCUCCCGCUUGGGACCAGUUCAAUGGUGUCCGGCAUCUUCGUCCAUACAGUGCUUCAAACGGUGCCAUCUUCAAACUGGCUUGGUAGCUAUUGUUGUAGGAGAACUCCACCAAUGGCAGGCACUUGUCCCAAUUUUUGUCAUAGUGGAUGACACAAGCUCUCAACAUGUCUUCAAGGAUCUGAUUGACUCUUUCGGUUUGACCAUCGGUUUGAGGAUGAUAGGUUGAGCUACGGAUGAGUUUGGUGUCCAUGGAUGCUUGUAGCUGUUCCCAAAAGCGUGCUACAAACUGAACUCCUCGAUCAGAGAUGAUUGUCUUUGGCACACCAUGUAGGGACACAAUACGGUCAAGAUACAAUUCUGCAUAUUGCUUGACCGUGUGGGUGGUGUGGACAGGAAGGAAGUGGGCAGUCUUGGUUAGACGGUCCACUAUAACCCAAAUGGAAUCAUGUCACUGCGACGAAAGGGGCAGUCCAACAAUGAAAUCCAUGCUGAUAUCUUCCCAUUUCUAAGAGGGAAUAGGCAGGGGCUGCAGGGUACCUGCUACCUUUAGAUGGCUGGCCUUGACGCGUUGGCAGGUGUCACAUUCUGAAACAUACCGGGCAAUUUCCGGCUUCAUCCCACUCCACCAGAAGGUUUGACGGAGAUCAUGGUACAUCUUAUUGCUGCCAGGAUGGAUUGAGAACUUGGAGAGAUGAGCUUCAUCUAGGAUCUGCUUCCUAAGGUUGGGGUCGGAUGGUACAACCAAUCGGUUUCCAUGAUACACCUUUCCAGUCUCAUCCUGUCGAAACUGCUUAUACCCCUCAUCCUUUAAUGAAAUCUUCCUGGUGAUCCGCCUUACUUCCUCAUCCUCUAACUGGCUGACCUUAUCUGGUCUUUCAAAACAGACGCAAGAGCUAUGUGGCCGAGGGUUCCAUGGGAAACAAUUUCCAACUUAAGUUUUCCCAUCUCAUGACACAGGGUCUCGGUGAAGUUGGUUGCUGUCAGGCAGUUGCAAAAGGUCUUACGGCUAAGAGCAUCGGCCACCACAUUGGUCUUGCCGGGAUGAUAGUGAACUUCUAAGUCAUAGUCCUUUAUCAACUCCAACCAUCUUCUUUGGCGCAUGUUGAGGUCGGCUUGGGUGAAGAUGUACUUGAGGCUCUUGUGGUCGGUGUAGAUGUUGCAGUGGGUGCCCAUCAGAUAGUGUCUCCAUAUUUUCAAGGCAUGAAUCACUGCUGCCAGCUCAAGAUCAUGGGUCGGGUAGUUCAGCUCAUGAGGUCGUAACGCCCGUGAGGCAUAGGCAAUGACUCGGUUGUCUUGCAUAACAACACACCCAAGUCCAGUGCCAGAGGCGUCACAGUAUACGUCAUACAGCCUAGAGGGGUCGGGUUGAGCCAGAACUGGGGCUAUGGUCAGCAAGUGCUUCAGGGUCUUGAAGGCUUCCUCACACUUGUCGUCCCACACAAAUCUGACCUCUUUCUUCAGCAGCUCUGUCAUCGGCUUAGCUAUCUUGGAGAAGUCUAGUAUGAAACGCUGAUAGUAGCCUGCUAGUCCAAGGAAACUUCGGAUCUGGUGCACUGAGGCGGGUGGUUUCCAGUCCAUGACUUCCUGUACCUUGCUGGGGUCGACGGCUAUGCCAUUCCGGGAGAUAGUGUGUCCUAAGAACUUGACACUAUCUAACCAAAAUUCACACUUGGAGAACUUGGCAUAGAGCUGAUGAUCUCUCAACCGUUGGAGAACUACAUGGAGAUGAUUGGCGUGUUCUUCUUCGUCUUUCGAGUACACUAGGAUAUCAUCAAUGAACACCACCACAAACUUGUCCAACUCAGGCAUGAACACUAAAUUCAUGAGAUACAUGAAAUAGGCGGGUGCAUUGGUGAGUCCAAAAGACAUGACUAAGUACUCGUAGAGUCCAUAUCUUGUGGAGAAGGCAGUCUUGGGGAUGUCACAUGGUCGGAUCUUGAUCCGGUGAUAACCUGAAUGAAGAUCGAUCUUGGAGAACACUCUAGCUCCAGCUAACUGAUCAAAUAAGACAUCAAUGCGGGGGAGUGGGUACUUGUUCUUAACAGUCACCGCAUUGAGGGGUCGGUAGUCCACACACAUGCAUAGACUCCCGUCCUUCUUCUUCACAAACAGGGCUGGGCAAUCCCAGGGUGAUGUACUGGGUUGGAUGAAGCCUUUUUCCAACAGAUCAUGCAACUGGGUCUUCAACUCGGCCAGCUCAGCAGGUGGCAUCCGAUAGGGUCUCUUGGAUAUCGGAGCGGUACCGGGGAUCAACUCUAUGGAAAACUCCACAUCUCUAUUGGGUGGCAUGCCGGGCAAGUCCUCUGGGAACACAUCCGAGUACUCACAGACAACAGGGAGGCUUUCCAGCCGGGCUUGUGAUAGGUGGUACGCACAGGGAAGUGCGGACUUAGGAUGUCGCAAGGAUAGGGUGGAACUGCCAUGGAAGGGUGAGUUGAUGUGGAGAGUUCGGGCAGCUGUAUCUAGAACCACUUGGUGUCUGGUCAUCCAAUCCAUCCCAAGAAUGAUAUCUAUUCCUUCCAGGUCAAGGAUGAUAAGAGUUUCCUUAAAAAGGUUUUGGCCUAGCUGGAUAGGCACAUUGACACUCAUCCUAUCAGAUGUGAUUAUUCCACCCGGGGUGGAUAUUCUAAAAGACCCUCUGGUUUGGCAUUCUUGUAACCCAUACUUGUCACGGGUCUUUCUCCCGAUAAAACUAUGUGAAGCUCCUGAGUCAAACAAAACCAAAGCUGAAAAACUGUGAAUCAGAAAGGUACCCGUCAUUAUCGGCGCACCUUCAGGAAGCUCUGCUGCGUGGGUGAAGUUCAGUCAACCCUGGCGAACUUACACCUUGGGUCUCUUCCCUUUGUUGAGCGUUGCAUUGCUCUGCCCUGGGCGCGGGCUCUGAUUUCUGGGGCAGUCCUUGGCGAAAUGCCCCACAUCGCCACAGGCGAAGCAGCGGUUACCAGUUGUAGGACGCGGUGGUGGUGGUAGGGUCGGCCGGGGCGCCUGUGGUUGGAAGCUAGGAAAACGAGGUGCUGUCGCUGGCGGGGGUCGGGCAACCCAUUUUCCCGAUGGCUGGGGUCGGCUGGGCGCUUGUGGAGGAACCAUCCGGAACCGUCGAGCGGGCUGGCUCGGAAAUGCCACGGAGGCCUUUCUCUUCUGGUCGGCUUUGAGAGCCUGCAUGCAAUCCUCUUGCGAGAUAGCCAAGUUGACCAGCUCGUUAUAGGUGUCCACCUUAAUGGAGUUCAACCUUUCUCUGAGCUCCAGACUUAACCCUCUGCGGAAUCUGUCCCGCUUCUUCUCAUCUGUGUCUGCAUGAUAGCCGGUAUAACGGCACAAGUCAUUGAAAGCUUGGGCGUAGUGCAGGACAUCUCGGUUUCCCUGGGUAAGAGCCAGGAACUCGUUGAGCUUGCGCUCCAGGAGACCUUCCGGAAUGUGAUGCGCUCUGAACGCAGUCUAGAACUCGUUCCAGCUGACAACAUGGUCGGCUGGCAACAUAGCAUGGUACUGAUCCCACCAGAGUCGGGCGGAACCACGCAGCUGUUGAGCCGCAAACCGGGCCUUGUUAUGGUCGGGGCACAGAGCGGUGAGGAGCUCGAACUUGGAUUCGAUCGUGCGAACCCAGGCGUCGGCGUCGAGCGGGUCUUGUGUCUUCUAGAACAAAGGGGGCUGCGUCCCCAAGAAGUCCUCAUAGCGAGCAACAUGAGGCUGCUACUAAGCCCUUCCCCUAUGGGGCUGCUGCUGUUGUCCUUGUACAAGAUGUCUCAGCAGCUCGGUUUGAGCCGCUAAGAUCGCCUCCAGCGGAGACGGGGGGUGGGGGCGGGGGAAGAUCCUGCCUUUGUUCACUGCUGCUGGGGACAGAGCCGGACCUGGUGCGAUGCGCCAUCUGCAAGAAUCACCGUUCCAUUAAUUCCAUAACCUCAGAAGUACUCCAAGCAUAUGGGAACGCACAGGUUAAAUCCUCAAUGCGACUCUUGCCGACAAUGCAACAUAACACAGCUUGAUAAAGGAGACACACACUUCCUCUUGCCAUCUUGGUUAGCAACUAUCUUAGUUCUGCACAUGACCUCGGGUGAACCAUAACCAGAUUCUAGGAAUUCCAUUAUAUCCGAUCUUAAGCCCAGGGGUCGGCUAGACGAAAUAGCACAGGAAGGGGUCGGCGAAGCGAACCGCACAAGAAAAGGGUCGGUCGAGGCGGAGAAGCGCCUCGAGGGGUCGGGCGCAUCCGACCUUGUGACCCAGGGUCGGCCAACUUGAACAAAGAACCAAAAAACAUGAGAUAGAACUCUUAACAAGAGAAGGGGGUCGGAUAGAAGGGCACUCGGAUUUGGACCGAACACAAGCUGGAAGAAAACUAGAAGUCCUUAGAACCGAAGGAGAGCCCUUCCGAGCAAGGUUGCUUUUGGGGAGGGUGACUUUACAGAUUUUAGCUUAUGUCGCAUGCACGGCCUACCUCGUUCUCAACCAAAACAACUGCCAAAACUUUUGGUCUUACGCAGUUAGUGCCGGUGGCAAGGCAACAAUUACGUCUCUCCCUAUAAUAGCUAGUCGAUUCUAGUAGCGUCUCUUAAGCGAACGCGGUUAGUGUACCUGCAGAAAACACAACCACAUGAACCUUUCGUGCCAGCACCCACGAACGCGUCCCCAAACAUUACUGUUCACUAUAGGAACGGCACCCAUGCGUUUAAGGCUGCAUGGACAGCACAACAACCGUGGAAAUAGGUCCCCAUUGAAUGGAACCAUAUAACCCUUCGCAUACUCGUGAUGCGGAAUCAGCGCACGUAUAAUAGACGUGGGCGAACAACCGUGAUGAUAGGCUCGUUGGAAUCGAACCAUACCACCCUUCGUAUGGAUUAACAUACGGAACCUGCGCACGUAUGAUAAAUGUGGGCGAAACAACCGCGAUGAUAGGGUCCUUUGAAUAGAACUCCCUAUCAACCCUCGCAUACUCGUGAUGCGGAACUCGGCACACGUAUGAUACACGUGGCGAAGUGCUGGAAGUUAGCAAGAUAACCAAUAAGUAUUAGCCACCUAUACGUAAAUGCACAAACAAGAUGCAGAAAGCAUGCGCAAGUUUUGGGAACAUAGGGGUUUCAUGCAUCCGGGGCUUGCCUUCGAACGAGGAGGAAGGGAAAGGGUCUUCUGCUGGGGCGGCUUCGACUUCUGGAGGCGGGAGCUCGGCUACAACUCCUUCUUCUGGCGCCGGGUACAACUCGUAGAAGCCGUCGGCGAGAUGCAGCUCUACACGAAUGCAAUGCAUUGGUUAGCAUUUAGACGGUUAUUUCAACAGCAACACUUGCAAGUUUGAGCCCAGAAGCUUGCGGCAAGUUACAGGAGGGUGGGGAGGUUUGCUGGAGUUGGUGGAGCUCAAGAUAAAAGGGUCGGAUGGGAAGAAACUUAUGGUCUGACCCUUAGAAUUGAGGAAUAGAUGUGCUAGGGGGUCCUCCGACUUAGCACAGAGAAGUCCCCGAGUUUUACACAUACACCCUCGGUUCAAGGAAAAGAUACAGCCGAGCCCUCGGGCGAGGCGGAGAAAGGUCGGCGGAACGGACAGGGUCGGGCGAGACGGAACAGGGGUCGAGCAGACCGAAGGGGUCGGACGAGACAGACAAAGGGUCGGCAGCUUACCUUCGGCUCACAGGUGAAGCUUGGGGUCGGGAAGAAGCAGACGCGGGCGGAAGGACUAAAGCUGGGACAGCGGCGAGGUCCGGCGGUGCUCCGGCGGCGGCGGUGCUUCUUGUGGACCACAAGCAAGCUUCAGCACAGCACGGAGGAGCAAGCGGCUGGGUGGAUAGGGAGGGGCGGCUGGAAGAGUUCCUCAGGAACUUAGGCUGUAGCGCUCGAGCACGAAACAGAGAGCAAGGCGGAAGGGCAGCGAUGGCGAAGGGAAAAUCCGGCGGGGCUCGGCAUUCCCUUUUAUAGUUGCGCAGCAGAGAGAAAGAGUUGGAGCGGCGCGAAGACCGGGAAGAACGAUGGAGUGCGCUGCCGGGGCGGCGAUUGAGCAACGAGAGCAGUGGAGCAGGACUUCGGGGAUGACACCGGCGGCCAUUGGGCACCGAAGACAGGGCGGAGCAGGUGCGGUUUUGCCGGUGGUUGAGAUUUGGCGGAGGCGGGCGUCGUCGUGCGGUGGAUCUGAUGGAAGUGACCGGGGGAACGGCGCUAGAAGCGAGGUUGCUCAGGUGAGGGUCAGGCGGGCCGCUGCUGCACGGGCGAGCGCGAAGCAACACUUUGCCGGGCGCAGCACUGACAAGGCAGGAAAGGAGUUUUCGCGGCCGGAGUUUGGAUUGGUGAUAGGGGAAUCAUCACGUAGUGCAGACCCGGGCGGCGCGACUGUGAAGGAGCGACGGAAAAACUGGGAGACAUCGGGCCUUCCAGCUGGGGGUCUGGCGAGGUGAUGAUGGGCGGGGCGGCGAGGCGCUGCAGAAAGAGUAGCAGAGGAGCUUCCGCUGCGAUUGGGGAAGGGGGCGCGAGAAUCCAUCCGGUCGUGGCAGGCGACGAGGCGGAGCGGCGAGCGUCGGAGGAGUUGAGCCACGCGGCUAGGAAACUCUGAAGCGGGCAUGCAACUCGAGUGCGCCUGUCGCAGGAGAUCUGGGAGAAGGAUCUCGUGGGUCCACCGGUCAGUCGUGGUGGUCCACGGCUCAGAUUGAAGGGAGGCGUUGUGGGUGGACUUAGAAAGAUUUGGCGGUGGGUUGGGGUCGGCGGGGUUGGAACUGGGGAAAAACGGCGAGGGGUCGGAUCACAGGGGGUCGGGACCGAGCUGGAGGUUGAGCACUUAGACUUGGUAAACUGAGACAGGGGAUCAAGGACUCGGAUUAAGAUUAACGCAAAGGAUUUUAACCGAGGUCGUUACAGGGUGGGGGUGGAUGCUAGUGGCGGUGGCUUUUGCAAGUGCAAGCGCGGUGGCCAGAUUGGAAGCAGAGUAUGCACUUGAAGGGGUCGUGGCAGUGUUGGACUUUGUGGUGGGAUGCAAGGCAGCGGAAGCAACGGCCAGCAGCGCGGGAUUUGAAGAGGGAAGACAACAAAUCCGGGGCAUAGGCGGUGCCCAAACGGUGGUGCACGGGGACCUGUCGAUCGUCAGAGGUAGGCCAUGCCAGUCUGCAAGGUACCUUGAAGAAAUUCGCUGCUAUCAUGAUCACAAUGUCAAGGAACAUUCGUUUACUAUAGGCGUUAUGGUCCUCAAGCGUAUCCAAGACACCAAGAGGCUGCACAAGCUAAAUUCACCAUGGGAGGGUUCGUUCAUCGUCUCCAAGGUCACUGGACCUGGGUCAUAUAGGCUCUAACACCUCUCUGGUGAAGAUGUCAACAACUCGUGGAACAUUGAGCAACUCUAUCAAUUUUAUCCCUAAGUUUACAUAUUCAUGUACACCAGCCAUCGGCCUUAGCUGUAAAAUUACAAUUUAAUAAAGCAGUCUUAUUUUUGUCAUAAAUUCAACUACUUAUUUCUGUCUGAUUACGGCUCGCAGAAGCAAGUUCGUAGAGCUAUUCAGCUCCCUGGGCAAAAUCGCCCAAAUCACAGCUUGUAGUAACAAGUCUACACAACUACAGCAAGCUACUCAGCUCCUUGGGUAAAAUUGCCCACAUUCAACAUGUAAUAACAAGUCUACGAAAAAUUGUGGGUUAUUCAACUCACCGGACAAAAUUGUCCAUAUACGGUUUGCAAAGACAAGUCCGCAAUAAAAUUCAUGAGUUAGUCAACUCAUGGGACAAAUUUGUCCUCUAAUGGCUUGCAGAACAGAAGCCGUUGGUACUUCGGGGGUUAACUAAACUACCCAAGUUAUUAUCUAGACAAGUCUAUCUAGUCGUGGCUUGUAAUAAUAAGUUUGCAGUUCCAGGUUUUCAAGAGCAUAACAUCAAUACAACCCAGAGAGGUUGUAAAGAUAGGCUCUAGUCGAAGUAAUCCUCAAGAGACUACUCACCCGAGAGGUCUAACUACCCGGAUACCUCGAGUACUAGUACUCCGCAGAAAGGAGUCGCAUCCUAAAGUACUCUACAUCGUGUAUCCGAAGAGGCUCAUCAAAGUAGCCUUGUGUGCAGACACUAACAUCUACCGUAUGAGCAAUCAUCAGCGUAGAUCGUAAGAUGCACUAAAAACAAACAAGUCAAAAGCAACAAAAUUGCAACAAGACUUAGAAUUAUUUACAUUUCAUUCAUAUCAUGUUUACAUUACAAAGAACUAAUGUUCACUCUUUACAACACUACUCAAGGUCUAAAUGGUUAGCUACUUCCUCCGCGAUAGGGUCCAUCUCUUGCAUGUACUGCUGGAAGAGCUCAUCUAAGCAGUCCUCUGCUAUUUCUUCCACGACAGGAGCUAGAUCAGCCUGCGGGUAGAAGGACUUCAUGAAGCCUAGCAGCUGCUUGGAGAUAGACUUCGCUAUCUUCUGGACGUAGCCAGUGAACUUUGCUGGCACAUCCUUGAGUAUCUCAGAUAGAGGGUGGAGCUCCAUUCUCUCAACUGGGGGCUCCACCAUGUAAGCUAUUGUCUAGGCUGCUUUGGAUAAUUCCUUCAGAGCUAUUUUUGCAGCUUCCAGCUCGACCUCGCGCUCCUAGAGGGUCUUCAUGGCAUUGACCAGGUCAACCUCACCAUCCUCGCACAUCUUCUUCUCCUUCUUCAGGUGAUGGUCAAGAUUCUCAUAUGUCGAGUUCGGAUUGGAUUCGAAUGAGGAAACCUUGGUGGACCACGAUUGCGUUGCGGAGUCUGUGUGGGAAUCGACUUCGAGUUGCAAUUGACUUGCGGGAUGACUUGGGCGUCAGCCUAUGCAGGCUGGUCCAAGUCAGGGUCGAGUCCGAGCCGUAGUCAAACUCGAUGUCGUUGAUGUUGAAAUUUUGGAUUUUCUCGACGGGAUUCUCUAUUUCUUGAUGAAGAAAAAUUCUCGUCGAGACGCUUCUUUUCCUGGUUGCCGAUGAUGUAGCGUUGAAACGAUCUAGUGCUGUCAGCGAUGCAAAGCCAGGAGCCGAAGACGAAGGUUGCGCCUGCCUCAAAGGAGAAAGCAGGCUUGAUGAUGACUGGUGCCAUCGAUCUCGCGUGGAGAAACUUGACGACUUCCCCUACCUGGCGCGCCAGCUGUCGGUGUUUUAGACCGGCAACCCGCCUAGGGGGUACCCUAGGUGGUCUUUUGUGCGGUGGGUAUCAUCGAGAAUCAAGGAGUUGAUGAUGACGCAAGGAACACAAUUUAGACAGGUUCGGGCCGCUAGAUCGCGUAAUACCCUACGUCCUGUGUGUAGAUUGUAUUGAUCUUGUUCUCUUGUUCUUCCUUUCUUGGAGGGGGUCCCUGCCCGCCCUUAUAUAGUCGGGGGAGCAGGGUUACAGAUUGUAUGAGUCCUAGUCGAGUACGUUUACAUACUCCUACUCUAACUCGGUAGAGUAGUUUCUUUCUGACCCGACUAGUCUUCAGGUAGUCCAUGAAGUCUACGUGCCUUGCGGAGUAGUCUUCAUGUCUGAGUAGUUUUUGGGUACAUUCCCUUGAGUGGGUCCGUACAAGUCUUCUGGUAGGCCUAAGGGUGCCUAGCCGACAGCGCAAUCAGCUUAUCAUGCUGGUCCAUCACCCGGUAGUAGGUGUUCUUCCAGUCAACAACUUGGACCUGGAGGUCUUUUUUCAUUUUCUCGAGCACUGCAGGAAUAAUACAAAAGAAGUUCAGUAUUGCAAAGUAAAAUUAGUACUCGAAGGCCAAGGAAGAAGAUCAAUUACCUCCCAGUUCUUGUUUUAAAGACUUGUUGCGCCCCCUGAGACGGUCCUUCUCCUCCUCAAACUGCUGGACACUAUUUCGGUACUCAGCGGCUUAUCCGUUGUACUUCAUCAGCAGCCUAGAGGAGUACUCUCUCUCCUUGGCAAGGGCCUCAGCACGGAAUACUAAGUCCCCAUAGCCUUGCAGCAUCUGUGAUUUCCUCCGGGAGUGCCUGAUGACAUCCUGCACCACAGAACAAGUACUCGUGUCAAGUUACGGGUACUGAUUUCAAGUUAUGGAAUCAAUGGGAUCAAAAGCUUACCUCUGCAUAUACAAUAACGUGGUGGUACAUCUCCAUCAUUCCGGUCACCAGCUCCAUGUCUAGCAGUGGGUUGUCGAUCAACUGAAUGUCUUCAAGGUUAAUCUCUCCAGCCGCUAGUGGCUCCCCGUGUGCUUCAGCAUCUGCCGCGCUGAGUGGAACCAUAGCACAACUUGUCAACAGACCCGGCUCGAAAGAUGGGACGGCCACCAUGACUUCCAGCUCUCCCGCUGCUUCAGUUUCUACCUCUGGCUCGAGGGCUACGAAAGUAGCCAUGGCGCUAGAGGUAGUUGCCACUGGGGUUUCGUGUACUGGUUGCUCGGGGGCUGGCACUACAGCAUCAGUCAAGGAAACUAUUACAUCUUGCAUCAAUACUACUACAAGAGAUAUGGCACCUGGGUUGAUUAUCGACACAGGUUGUUCUUCUGGCUGCGGACUUGUUGGCGCCAGGGUAAUGUCCUGGACCGAGUGGCUACUAACAUCAGUGACGGGCUUUAGGCUAGGCCCUCCGAGUUCCACGUUAGAAGAUUUCCUACAUAAGACAAGUUUUUAGAGACAAACAACAAUCUAAGAGCAAGCUGCAAUUAGUACUCAAAAAGGAAUAGCAAGACUUACUUCGAAUAGCAUCUCAGCUUCAGUUAAGGCUCCCCUGUCAGGCGUAGUGGCUUGUUGAUCAAAGACGGCUUCUUUGGCGCAGCUUGUUGGGUCGCAGCAUGAUCCUCGCCAGCCUUCGAUGCCACCUCUGCUCCUCGACUAGUCCUUGUGCCAAUAGGGUCCACCUCGGAGACAAAAGGCUCUGGAUCAUCUUCGAUCUCGAUCACCUCUUCGAUGACCGGCAGUUUUUGUUGUGCGACCUCAGUAGUCACCUUCUCCGCCUCGGUCACUUCCCCAACUACCUGCAAACCACCAAUGCCAUAUUGAGUAGACAUGGUGGUAUUGGAUUUACUUACUGAGAGUACUCGAUCCUACGGAUCUUGCCCUUCUUCAUAAGUUAUUACCACUGGGGGUAUGUCCUCUACAGUAAGAGGCUUCCUCACAGCACGCUUCGCAGCGACGGUCCGUUUCUACCUAGACGGUAGAGCAAGCGCGGCUUCAAGAUCAUCUUCUGCUACGCGCUUCGAUGAUCCAGAGGACGACCCAGCCUUAUCAGAUGGCUGGUCCUUAAGUUUGAAGUCCUCCGCAGCUUCAGAAUCAGAGCUACUAGAGGACUCAAGUACAUCUUCUUCUUCCUCCUCCUCAGCUUCACUCCCCACGCUCACUACCGUGUGGAUGCGAGGAGCAACUUCAAUGUCUUCUGAUCCGGGAGGAGGAGGAGGAGCAGAGCAGUACAAAUGUACAUCUUCCUACACAGGUAGACAAUUUAGUACAUCCAAACAUUACCAAAAUGAGUACUCGGGGGCUACGACCACAGGUACUUACAUCUUUUGGCGGGUUGGCGGUGCAGAACUCUCACACAAUUGUGGGGAUUUCACUCGCAUUCUUGAACAUGUGCCUCAAUCACGCCAUGACUUCAUCUACACUGAGUUCCUCCAGAGGUAGCCUGGAUGAAUCACUGACACCAGAGUACUCGUAGCUCCAGAGGCAUCGAAGUUGCAGAGGUUGAACCCGCCGCUUCAUGAAGCUAAAAGCUACUCUAACUCCUGUCGAUCCUUCUUGCUUGAGCUUGGCUAUCCUGUCCAGGAGUUCGGGUAGUUGCAGGCAAUCUCCAUGGGAUGGCUCAUCCAGCCAUCUGUUAUUCCAGGUUGGGCGAUGUCCAGUUAACUUGGGAAGCUUGGGGUCAUGGUUGCCGAUGUAGCACCACUUCUCUUUCCAUCCAGAAUGUGAAUCAAUCAGCUCGUAAUCCAAGUAGAGGCCCUUGAGUUUCUCCCUCAUUUGAAUUCCGACACCCCCAACUACCUCGGUGUGCUCCCUCUUGGGCCGUGGCUUCACUCGGAAGAAUUUGCGGAAGAGUUGAAAGUGGGGUUGGAUCCCCAAGAAAGCUUUGCACAAAUGCACAAAAAUUGCGGCGUGCAGAAUGCCAUUGGGAUUCAAGUAAACAAGCUCCAACUUGUAAUAAUCUAAGAGACCUCGGAAGAAGUUGGAGGCAGGCAAUGCAAGACCGCAUUCAAUGAAAUACACAAAGAUUACCGUCUCCUCUAGGUACCCCUCCAGCGGCCAUGGGUUGCCAUAGGCGGAUCUCCAGUUGAUGAUAUCUUUUUCUUGGAGAAGGUUGGCCGCUACCAGCGCCUUGAUGUCUUCAUCCUUCAGUGAUGAUCUCUUCUAGGCACACGCAGGAGUCAGCGGUGCAGCUUGGUCCGUCUUCCCGUACUUGGGUGUCGGCAGUUGAAUCUCCUUCUUCUUGUCCUCCUUCUUCUUCCCGCCCUCAACCGCCUUGGCUGCAGCUGCUUUCUUCCCCAUCCUUGUUGCCAUGAGUGUCUUCUUUCACAUAUGCUCGGGGGUUGAGUGGUGGGGGAUGGCGGCACUAGCGCUCGAGGAUCGGGAAGCGGCAGCACUAGGGCUAUAGUGCAGAAGUUGAAAGAGCAGAUGGCAAGGGUAAAAUGGAAGGGAUGUUUUCCUCCAUUAUUUAUAACCGCGGUGCAGUAACAGCGGCGGGAAUAAAGGAAUAUUCAGGUUUAAUGGGCCCGAAAAUUUCGCACCUGAUUAGCAGUUAUCACUAUUUUUGAAAGAGAUAAGGUUACUGUUCAAAGAUGGUCAGUUGACCAAAGGUUGAUCCUUAUACCCACCAAACUAGUCGGAAACAACUCGGGGGCUGUGUGCCACGUGUCCAUCGGCAAAAAAGUUUUUUCUCUGGAUUUUAAGGGAAAAUAGAUGCAAAUUACAGAUUGACCCUCAGCCUGAUUCUUCAAUUCAACCUAAGGCUCGGGAGCUACUCCAUAUGGAGUGCAACUUUCGUCGCACUUCCAUAUAAAAAUUCGAGAUUGAAGGCUUCAAGAUCGAGUUGAAUGAGGCUUAAGCACAUUCUAGCUGCAUGGCAGUACUCGAGUACAUUUGAAGACUCAACCCAAUGAAGUGCUCGAAGAACACCAAAACUAGUCAGUGAAGCUUACAAAAGUACUCGGGACUGUUGCAUUUGACUAAAAAGUGGACUGUUACAUUUGACUAAAAAGUACUCGGGGCUUGUCGUACAUACAUCAAUGGGCCCACCAGAAGGUUUGGACAAUCCUGAAUAUAGGGCUGGACACCCAAACGUAUCUGACAUGGAGGCUAUGGCGCAGGACGGCGUAGUCUACAUGGCAAGACACGAACUAGUCAAGAAUUAGGAAAAGUACUCGUAGCAAUCAGAAUAGGACUCGUCUAGCCGAAUCCGACUAGUAUUCUUGUAAAUCAACCUACCUGUAACCCUACCCCCGACAAUAUAAGGUGAGGCAAGGACCCCCUCCAAAGCAAUUCAAUCCAACCAACACAUAGGAUGUAGGGUAUUACGCAAUCUAGCGGCCCAAAUCUAUCUAAAUUGUGUGUCUAUGUUCACCUUCGAGUUCUUGAUCUCGGCGAGCCCCACAAACCAAGUCGGGUCUAAACACCGACAGGCGGGCCAGGCCGGUUGGCUAGCAGGCCGGCCGGCCUGGUGGGUUGGUUAGAUUAGUUAGUUAGGUUUUGUUUCCCUUUGUAUUUAGUUUGAAUUUUGAAUUGGAUUCAAAACUCAAACACACUCUACUUUGAAAGCCAAAUAAAAUCCAAUAAGAACCAACUCAAACUAGCACACAAGCUUGAAAUCAAAUUUGGAGAUUUAUUUAUUAGGGAAUUUCUAGAUUAGAGUAGAAUUUUUCUUCCAUUUUCAAAUGAGCACACAAUUCAAAUAAAAAGUUUUAAUUUUUUGAAAUUUCACUCAAUUUAAUAUUUCUUAUUUUUUUAGGAAUAUUACACUGGGUGUAAUAGUUAUGGCUUUAUAUGUCACUGAAACUCUUGUAACGUUCUCUCUCACUCUCAAUCUUCACUCACGCUCGGUUAAUAACUACACCGUCGUCCCCGUCUGUACUAGUCUGCUCUAGUCAAUCCUAGUCGUGGCUGUCCUCUCCUUAUGUCGACUGCUUCCGACGCUGCAUUGUGCGCCACCGUAGUCGCUGUGCUUCCUUCGUCUCCGGUGACGAUGACAAUGCCUGCUUUGCCGCCACCAUUUUUCAGCGUGGUGGUUGUCCGAUUUCGAGUGAGAAGCAGUGUACAUCUCUAAGGCAGAUUCAUUUUUCACCGAUCCUCCAUCUGAGAAGAAGAGGAAAAGGAAGAGGAGGAAGAGGAAGGAGAAGCAAGAUGACGUUGCUGCCAGAAAGCCUGAUGACAUGGAUUUGAACAUAAAUGACGACGACAUGGUAGAUUAGCAAACACAGUGUAAUAAAAACUAGACUCAAGUAUGUGCCCUUCAUGUAUACUUUGAGCAAAGCACUAUACAUGUGCAAACUUUUUUCCAGGUCUAAGUAGGCAAGCACCAAAGUAAUAAAACAUGUUUUACUCCUUUUGUAGGGUCAGAUGCCCGAAUAUGAAUCCCCCACAUAUGUAUAGGGCCACUUAUUGGACACUAUGCAUCUAAACAAUAAUUCAGAACCAGUAUAUAUAUAAUUUUGUGAUGUCUUAUUCUUUGGAUGGUGUUCUGUUCACCAAGCUUUCAAGGAUAGAGCUCGAUAACAGAUCGAACACCGAGAACAGGUAUAAUUUUGUAGUCCUUGAAUCCAGCCUCGAAGAAAAUCUUCUUCCACUCUUGCUCAUCUCGUUCAACUCCAUUGAUGUUCAUGAUUAAGAGGUCAUACAAAACUUGUGUCUCUGCAUGCUUGAUAUCAUCUGACGGCCCAGAUCCGACCACCAUAUCUAUUAUUAUUAUCUUUCCUCCAGCAUCUCGUGGAGAUAUAGCUUGUUUGCAGUUCUUCAAUAUCUUGACACACUCGUCAUCGCGCCAAUCAUGCAAAAUCCACUGAAAAAAACAAGCAAUCAUGCAUCAAUUUUCAAUCCAUACAUAAAUUAAACAUACAAUAGCUUAGGGCAUUUGCUGGUUGCUGUCAGUAAUGUGCAUUCGAAACAUUUGGGUAUUGGGAUGUACCUUGAGGAACACAGCGUUCGCCGGUGGAAUACUCUCAAACACGUCACCAGCAACGUAGUGCACGUCAGUACCAGAGGGAGCUUUUGCGACGACCUGUGGGAGAUCCAGCACGGUGCACUUCAAAUCCGGGAACGCCGCUGCUAUGGUCGCAGCGGCCCCGCCAAGGCCGCCGGCGACAUCGACGAGGGAGGUUAGCCCACGGAAGACCUCGGCGCACUCCCUGAGGACGAUCGGCAUCAGGAAGGCGGUGUCCGCGGCCAUGGCGUCGUUGAACCGGAACGCGGCGGCGUCAUGUUCCGCUCUCUCCCAGACCGUCUGGCCGCCGUACGCCAUGGCGAACGGGGACAGACCCGGCUGCUGCUGGUCGCCCUGCUGCCGGAACCACUUGCGCAUGCCCAUGCUAACCGGAGAAUCUCGGACCGGCCCGAGCAAGAGCUGCACGGUCAGGAAAUGAGGCAGUUGGCCCGUCGCCGUCGAGCUCUUGUCCCUGACGAGGAGGCGGGAGGCCGCUGUCAGCUUGUAGACCGCGGCGUCGUGCCUGCUUUCUGCCGCCGCCGCCGCCGCCGCCUCGUCCGGGUGCUGGACGAUGAAGAUGCCCGAAACGGUGAGCACGCGCAUGACGCGGCGCAUGUCGCGGAGCCUGCACGGGCUGAUCCCGGCCUCGGCGAGUAUCUGGGGCAGGGUGGCGGCGCCGCCGAGGCGGUGGACGGCGUCGGCGAUGCGGAGGUCCAAGGCGAUGGCGAGCGCGGCGGACUUGAAGAAGCCGAGGGACUGGUGCCAGAGCUGGAGCUCGGCCUGGAGCAGCUCCUGGCUGCUGUACUCGGCGAGCAAUGCCAUUACUGCCCCGAUCGACCAAUCAGUCGAUCUUGAUG
rnacentral:lncRNA from 1 species